UAGGUAGAAGUCAGUCCUUACUGCUGCUGCCGGUGGUGGGAGAAGGCCGUCUGUUUGUGCCUCAGUGGAUGAGUGGGCUGGGGGGAGAGCACAGGUUGGGGUGCUGAGGGUACUGCAGCUGGCGGCGGAGGAGAUCUCCGGGCAUAAGGGAUGAGCGAGGAAUAUUACGGCAGUGCUGCGGACUGGGAGGAGCAGGACGGCUCUAUGCACGAUGAGGAUGAGGGAGAUGGUGAGGAUGAUGCAGAGGUGCAGCAGGAAUGCCUGCAAAAAUUUUCCAGCCGAGAUUACAUAAUGGAGCCACCUAUAUUCAACACGCUAAAAAGAUAUUUCCAGGCAGGGGGUUCUCCGGAACAUGUGAUCCAGAUGCUUUCUGAGAAUUAUACAGCAGUAGCACAGACUGUAAACCUGUUGGCAGAGUGGCUGAUUCAGACAGGGGUUGAGCCAUCACAUGUUCAAGAGACUGUUGAAAAUCAUUUGAAAAAUUUGCUGAUCAAACACUUUGAUCCUCGGAAAGCUGAUUCCAUAUUCACAGAGGAAGGAGAGACCCCAGCCUGGUUGGAGCAGAUGAUUGCUCAUGUGACUUGGAGAGACCUCUUCUACAAACUAGCAGAAGCUCACCCUGACUGUUUGAUGCUGAACUUUACUGUUAAGCUGAUCUCAGAUGCUGGAUAUCAGGGUGAAAUAACCAGUGUGUCGACAGCCUGUCAGCAGUUGGAAGUUUUUUCCCGUGUUCUCCGCACCUCGCUUGCCACGCUUAUUGAUGGGGGUGAAGAACAUCUAGAGAAAAACCUGCCUGAGUUUGCAAAAAUGGUAUGUCAUGGAGAGCAUACAUACCUGUAUGCUCAGUCUGUAAUGUCUGUCUUGGCCCAGGAGGAACAAGGUGGAGCAGCUGUCCGACGAAUUGCGCAGGAAGUUCAGAGAUAUGCACAUGAGAAAGGUCAUGAUGCCAGCCAGAUCACCUUAGCGCUGGGCACUGCUGCAUCCUACCCCCGAGCCUGCCAGGCACUGGGUGCCAUGCUGUCUAAGGGAGCUCUGAAUCCUGCUGACAUCACUGUCUUAUACAAAAUGUUCACGAGUAUGGAUCCACCUCCUGUGGAACUGAUCAGAGUCCCUGCCUUCCUGGAUCUUUUCAUGCAAUCCCUCUUCAAACCAGGCUCUAAAAUCAACCCUGAGCAUAAACACAAGUACAUCUACAUCCUGGCCUAUGCAGCCAGUGUGGUGGAGUCAUGGAAAAAGAACAAAAGAUUUAACAUCAACAAAGAUGAGCUGAAAUCAACAUCGAAGGCCAUCGAAACAGUUCACAAUUUAUGCUGCAAUGAAAACAAAGGGGCUUCAGAGUUAGUUGCAGAACUGGGAACCCUCUACCAAUGUAUUCGGUUCCCAGUGGUAGCAAUGGGAGUGCUGAAAUGGGUUGACUGGACUGUAUCAGAGCCCAGCUACUUUCAGUUGCAGACUGACCAUACACCUGUUCACCUAGCGCUGCUGGAUGAGAUCAGUACCUGUCACCAGCUCCUCCAUCCCCAAGUGCUGCAGCUCCUUGUGAAACUGUUUGAGACCGAACAUUCCCAGCUUGAUGUCAUGGAGCAGCUGGAGUUGAAGAAGACACUGCUGGACAGGAUGGUCCACCUGUUGAGUCGCGGCUAUGUCCUUCCUGUGGUCAGCUACAUUCGCAAGUGUUUGGAGAAAUUGGACACAGAUAUCUCACUCAUCAGAUACUUUGUCACAGAGGUCCUGGAUGUCAUUGCUCCUCCAUACACAUCAGACUUUGUCCACCUUUUUCUCCCAAUCUUGGAGAAUGACAGCAUUGUUGGCACAAUAAAAACAGAAGGGGAGUGUGAUGCUGUGGCAGAGUUCAUUGCACACUGCAAAUCCAAUUUCAUCAUGAUGAACUAGCACUGUGAGCGAGACACCGGAAUGGUGCCAGGAGCAGCGAACAACCUCAUCCUGACCAACAACAAGACAAGAGAGACAUUUGAGCACGGCGGGAGUCCGGGAGGAAGCGCGAGGGCAGCCUGGGAAGAGGGUGUAACGUUGAUGGACUGCUCCUUCCUGCUGUAUGCCUACCUAAAAGGAAUUAAAGAUUAAUUUUUUGGACACUGCUGCUGUGAUGCAGUCUGAUCUGGACCUUCCAUGAUUGGUUUAACUUCUGCUUUUCUCCAUUUGCAGUGAUUGCCAAAUUCUAUUCCUCUUUUGAGGUGCAAUUGCAUGUAUUUUUCCAGGCCUUAGUCAUUGAACACAAUCCUUUGAUGAUUCGUGGCUGUUCUCUGCAUUCUGAACAGGGCUUUGUGUCUCACAUGCAUUUUAGCAACCGAAAUGGAGCAAAAUGUCAGGUUCCUUCAACAUGAUUAUGGUGUGAAAUUUCUUUGAAGCAGUUUGAUGUUUUCCGAUGCCAGUAUAGAGACCAGACUGGAUAAAGACAACAGGUUUUGUUCCUGACAAUGUUUGUGAUCAAUGAGUUUUUCACAAUAGGCCAAAAGCUUUGUGAUUAAUAAUAUGGAUUUUGUUUCUAUAUUGUUUUCUUGAAAGACUAGAUUCAAAUUCUUCACUCUGGGAUAUGGACUCUUAUUCACUGGACUAUUAAUUAGGAAUUACCAAUCCAGUCAUAAUUACUUACCACAACAGUUUUGCUCUGUAUCUGUUCUGUCUUCAAGUUUAACAGGAUGAUUGUGAAACAUGAAACACUGUCAAUUUAACCUCAGAAUGUUACAUCCUCAAUAUAUUGUACAGCUUGAACAAACUGGAUCACCCCUUUCCCAAACAGCAUUGGCUUAAUUAUAUAGAAUACAGAAUGUCCUUUAUUUUGCUCCUGAUAUUUUAUUCCAUGAUUUUAUCAAAUUGGAAGUCAUGUGACACUAGGUUAUAAACUAACAGGUUUAUUUAAAAAUCACAAGCUUUCACAGUGCUGCUCCUUGAUCAGAUGAGGGACUUGACCUGAUGAAGGAGCAGCACUCCAAAAGCUUGUGAUUUUAUAUAAACCUGUUGGACUGUAACCUGGUUUCACGUAACUUCCGACUUUGUCCACCCGAGUCCAACACUGGCAUCUCUACGUCAUGAUUUUAUCAGUUAUUGAUGGACAAUUAAAUGAGCUGUGGUUGCCUGGAUGAGGCCUGCCUCCAUUUUCUAAGCUGGGUGUUAACUUUAGCAUGUUCUCAAAUCUAACGAGACUUCCUGUGUAAUAAAUGAUAUUACAAAGUCUGUUAGCACUUCA